UCGGUGCAUGCAAAAAUAAUUUGCCACUGUUCGAGGCACUGAUAACGCAAAACAGCGUUCACCAGCAUUUGGCGUGUGCGUGAAACCGAGUUAAAUCGAACGGGAGGAGCGUUUAUUCCGUCGUACUUAAGUCAUACCGUGCCGUCGAGUUGAGUCAGUUGCUAGCUGACCUGCGAGUGCGUGGAAUACAUACAACGUGGAGGUAAACUGGUUCGAAACAACUAGAUUCCAGCUCCUUGACAAUCAUCUCGGCAAUCUACCUGAUUGCUUCGAACUUAUAAUUCUUUUGUGCUAAAUAUUUUACCUUGAGACGCGAGACGGCGUCGUCUAGAGUCGG